rnacentral:rRNA from 1 species
GAUGAACGCUGGCGGCGUGCUUAACACAUGCAAGUCGAACGGAAAGGCCGAAGCUUGCUUCGGUACUCGAGUGGCGAACGGGUGAGUAACACGUGGGUGAUCUGCCCUGUACUUCGGGAUAAGCUUGGGAAACUGGGUCUAAUACCGGAUAUGACGAUCUCUUGGAUGUGGUUGUGGAAAGCUUUUGCGGUAUGGGAUGAGCUCGCGGCCUAUCAGCUUGUUGGUGGGGUAAUGGCCUACCAAGGCGUCGACGGGUAGCCGGCCUGAGAGGGUGUACGGCCACAUUGGGACUGAGAUACGGCCCAGACUCCUACGGGAGGCAGCAGUGGGGAAUAUUGCACAAUGGGCGCAAGCCUGAUGCAGCGACGCCGCGUGGGGGAUGACGGCCUUCGGGUUGUAAACUCCUUUCGCAAUCGACGAAGCCUUUUGGUGACGGUAGGUUGAGAAGAAGCACCGGCUAACUACGUG